rnacentral:rRNA from 1 species
AGUGAACGCUGGCGGUAGGCCUAACACAUGCAAGUCGAACGGCAGCACAGUAAGAGCUUGCUCUUACGGGUGGCGAGUGGCGGACGGGUGAGGAAUACAUCGGAAUCUACUUUUUCGUGGGGGAUAACGUAGGGAAACUUACGCUAAUACCGCAUACGACCUACGGGUGAAAGCAGGGGAUCUUCGGACCUUGCGCGAUUGAAUGAGCCGAUGUCGGAUUAGCUAGUUGGCGGGGUAAAGGCCCACCAAGGCGACGAUCCGUAGCUGGUCUGAGAGGAUGAUCCGCCACACUGGAACUGAGACACGGUCCAGACUCCUACGGGAGGCAGCAGUGGGGAAUAUUGGACAAUGGGCGGAAGCCUGAUCCAGCCAUACCGCGUGGGUGAAGAAGGCCUUCGGGUUGUAAAGCCCUUUUGUUGGGAAAGAAAAGCAGCAGGUUAAUACCCCGCUGUUCUGACGGUACCCAAAGAAUAAGCACCGGCUAACGUCGUG